CACGUAGGAGGCGAGCGUUGUCCGGAAUCAUUGGGCGUAAAGAGCGCGCAGGCGGCUUGGCAAGUCGGGUGUGAAAUCCCGGGGCUCAACCCCGUGACUGCAUCCGAUACUGUCAGGCUAGAGGUAGGUAGGGGAGAUCGGAAUUCCUGGUGUAGCGGUGAAAUGCGCAGAUAUCAGGAGGAACACCGGUGGCGAAGGCGGCUACCUGGACCGGUUCUGACGCUGAGGCGCGAAAGCGUGGGUAGCAAACAGG
rnacentral:rRNA from 1 species